CAGGAUGCACUUUGCUCUGAAGGCAUAUCAAGAGCUGCUAAUGACAGUAAAUGAGAUGGACCGCUCAAAAUAUGACAACAUCCGGCACAGUGCCAGUGUCAUAAAGAGCAAUAUCUUCUAUCUGAUGGAGUUCAGAGAGAUUUUUCUGACUCUCUUACGUAAGUUUGAUGAACAGACACAGCCACGGUCAUUUCUCAAAGAUCUGGUGGAGUCCACACAUCUGUUUCUGAGAAUGCUGGAGAGAUUCUGUAAGGGACGAAACAAUCUGGUUGUGCAG